rnacentral:rRNA from 1 species
AUUGAACGCUGGCGGCAGGCCUAACACAUGCAAGUCGAGCGGAUGAAGGGAGCUUGCUCCUGGAUUCAGCGGCGGACGGGUGAGUAAUGCCUAGGAAUCUGCCUGGUAGUGGGGGAUAACGUCCGGAAACGGGCGCUAAUACCGCAUACGUCCUGCGGGAGAAAGUGGGGGAUCUUCGGACCUCACGCUAUCAGAUGAGCCUAGGUCGGAUUAGCUAGUUGGUGGGGUAAAGGCCUACCAAGGCGACGAUCCGUAACUGGUCUGAGAGGAUGAUCAGUCACACUGGAACUGAGACACGGUCCAGACUCCUACGGGAGGCAGCAGUGGGGAAUAUUGGACAAGGGGCGAAAGCCUGAUCCAGCCAUGCCGCGUGUGUGAAGAAGGUCUUCGGAUUGUAAAGCACUUUAAGUUGGGAGGAAGGGCAGUAAGUUAAUACCUUGCUGUUUUGACGUUACCAACAGAAUAAGCACCGGCUAACUUCGUG